UUCCAAUAUGGUGGCCAGCUUGGCAGGUCUAUGGUUCCUGUUGAAGAUAUUGUUGUUCUGCGGGAUCAGGUACGGCGCCUGCAGCCAGGAAGCUCCGCUGGUGGUGGGGCUGCGACUGGAGAACCCGGCGGGUCUGGUGUACAUGAAGGACCGGGUCAUCUCGGCGCCAGAAGGAGCCACGUUCAAGCUCCGUCUCUACGGGACUGAGCUGAAUGGAAGCUGGCCGUGGGUGGCGUUCGCUGGGGCAGCUGGCGGAGCGGUCGGGGAUGCGCCUGAUCCCUGCGGGCAGGACUCCAACCGUGGGCAGUCUGCCUUCCAGGUGACGGGGGAGUUCACUCCGGAUGAGAAAUACAGCGGGCUGAUAAUGGUGGAGGUCCAAAAGAGGAGCAUCUCUGCUGGGGUCGACAGCGGGAAGAGCUACUACCACCUGUGUGUGCUGAGCGGGGGGAAAUGGGCUUCUGCGGGCCCGGACAGGCUGCGGAUCAACACCGACAUCCCGCCCUGGGGGCUGGUGGUGCUGGCGGUGGUGCUGCUGAUGGUGUGCGCGCUGCUGAGGACAGUGAACCUGAGCCUGCUGUGGCUGGACCCCGUGGAGCUGUAUGUGCUCCACAGCUGCGGGUCCGAGGAGGAGAAGCGGGCUGCCAAGCGCCUUGAGCCCAUCAGGAGGAGAGGGAACUUCCUGGCAUGUUCUCUGCUCUUCUUGUCUGUCCUGGGACACUCGGUCCUCAGUGUACUCCUGUACCGGGCGCUGGGCUCCAUCCUCUCUGCCGUCUUUACCAGUGGCUUCCUCAUCUUCUUCCUGGCUGAGCUGGCUCCUCACAUCCUGUGCUCUGGGUAUGGCUUUCAGCUGGCGCCGGGUCUCACCUGGCUGGCCCAGGUUUGUCUGGUGCUCACCUUCCCCCUGUCAUGCCCUCUGGGGCUGAUCCUGGACCUGGCACUGAGGAGGGACAUCACCACCUGUGGGAUCAGGGAGAGGGCCAUGGAGAUGAUCCGCACAAGUGUCAAUGAUCCUUAUAGUGAGUUUGUGAAGGAGGAGUUCAGCCGCGGGAUGCUGCGCAGUAAGACGGUGGAGGACAUCUUGACCCCGCUGAAGGACUGCUUCAUGCUGCCCAGCUCCAUCAUCCUUGACUUCUCCACCAUGUCGGAGAUCAUGCAGAGUGGAUACAACAGGGUGCCCAUCUACGAGGAGGAGAGGUCCAACAUCGUCGAGAUCCUUUACGUGAAGGACUUGGCUCUGGUGGACCCGGACGACUGCACUCCCAUGACGACUAUCACCAAGUUUUACAAUCACCCUCUGCACUACGUCUUCAACGACACAAAACUGGACGCCAUGCUGGAGGAGUUCAAGAAAGGCAACUCUCACAUGGCCAUCGUGCAGAAGGUAAACAACGAGGGGGAGGGGGAUCCUUUCUAUGAGGUGCUGGGAUUGGUCACGCUGGAGGACGUUAUCGAGGAGAUCAUCAAAUCAGAGAUCCUGGAUGAAUCUGACGGCUACUUGGACAGGAAGGUGAAGCGUCCCCUCGCCCCACUGGAGAUUCCUCUGGAGCCUCGCACCGUUCACGAGGAGUUUUCUCUCUUCAAGCUUCCUGAAGGAGAACCCAAGAUCCGAACAUCACCACAGCUCCUGUUGGCCACCCACCGCUUCCUGUCCAGAGAGGUGUCACACUUCAGCCCUGGACGUGUUUCUGAGAAGAUCCUGUUCCACCUGCUCCGCCACCCCAGUGUCAACCAGGAAGUGCACUUUGACCCCAACAACCGUCUGAGUGCGGCUCACUAUCUGUACACGCGCAACCACCCGGUGGACUAUUUCAUCCUGCUGCUGCAGGGUCGUGUGGAAGUGGAGAUCGGUAAAGAGGGGCUGAAGUUUGACAACGGAGCGUUUACAUACUAUGGCGUGUCGGCGCUCACGCUGCCAUCUUCAGUGCAUCAGUCUCCUGUGUCGACCCAGUGUCACUCUCCCAGAGAUCCCUUUGAGUCAGCAGACGCCACAAGCCCGUCCAGUUAUUGUCCCGACUACACCGUCCGAGCUCUCACUGACCUGCAGCUCAUACGUGUGACACGUCUCCAGUAUCUGAACGCUCUCAUGGCCUCCCGGGUCGGUCAGAGUCCUGAUCCUCCAGAAAUAAAGAUCCUGCCCAACAGUCAGACCAAGCUGCUCAACGAGAGAAACACCACACAACAAGAUUUCCCUGUAAACUUUUCAUUCUUUGACACCAUUGAGAACUACUGUUAGUUUUAUUUGUGCAUGAGUUUCUGCUUUUCCCUGAAAUCAUCUCACUUCUCUCUGUUGGGUGGCAGUAGCACCCAGGAGAGCUCAACAGAAGAAGAGGCUCAUGGGUAGUGCGGUUCUGACCUGCUCCAACACAGUAGAGGUUUUAGUUUGUUUUUAUUAAUGAAUCAUCUAUGGCUGGAACGUAGUUAUUGGACAAGACUGGAGUGAGAGUGAUUUUAUUUGUUUUGUAGAUCCACUGCUCACAUAUCUCAUUCCUUGAUGUGAUUUUCAUUGCAAUAUUAUUUGAUGCUGUUUCAUACACUUUGAACUAUCUACAGUAUGUGUGUAAAUACAUAAAUACAUUUUAUUUUAAUUUGGCGGCGCCUUUCUUCCAGGUUUGUACUAAACUCUGUAUUGCAAUGAUUCGUCACUUGUGACUGUCUGGGUGCCAAAGGGGGGGGUUUGUGUGUGGGUGUGUGUGUGUGUGUGUGUGUGAGCACGUGCGUUGUCUGUACUCGGGUGUAAAUCCGUCCGACAUUAAAAAAUAAAUAACAACGGUUGGUUAAAAAGCAGAUUUGCACAUUGAAGUUGUGCACUGUAGAUAGUCUUAAGCUAUUUUUCAAGCUGUUAGGUACGUCCACAUUUUUCUACACUCACACAACAUUGCUAUCAGACACAAAGGUGUGUGUUCAGCUUUCAGUGGUUUGUAAUUUAAAUAUUCAUUAGUCAAGUGGAGGGUAAAGGCCCAGGAUGUAACCAAAGUGAAAAAGACUAAACACUCCUUACUAACUAAGAGUGAUAUUUUUUUAUGGAUGCUGACAUUUGACAGAAACUUAAGGGGCCUCCAGAUGAAGAUUUUGUUUGUAAAAAAAAAAAGAGCUAAAACAAUUAAUCAAUUCUCCGAAAAUAAUCGGCAACUAUUUUGUUAAUCAACUAUCUGUCUUAGUUGUACAGAUACGCUGCUAUUCUUUGUCUUGUGUGAUGAUAAGCUGAACAUUUUGUGUUUUGAGCGACACAACAAGACAUUGGAAGAUGUCACUUUGGUCUUAAAUUGGGCCGAUUUUCCCCGUUUUCUGACAUUUCAUAGAUCAAACAAACAUCAAAAGCAAAAAAUCGUCCAACAUCAGCGUUUUUUGGUAGAGUAUCGAAUGUGUGGUCAGUUUCGUUUUAUUCUGUCACCAUAUAGUUCCUACAUUUUAAAUUUGUUAACACUGGAUUUAUUAUUUGUGCAGUUUAACGUGAAGUGAUGAAAAAACGUUUUGAACUUUUAGUCUAGGAAUCAGCAAAUUAAUUUACAGUAACAAGUAUUUCUUAAAGUAAGGUUUUGAUAAAAUUAUGCAAUUGGUAUUUGUACCAAAACGGAGGUCUUCAGAAUCAGAAUACCUUUAUUCCUCGGGGAAACGUACAUUGUGACAGCCAAAGUGAAGAUUGAAACAAACAAAAACAAAACACUAUUAGAUAAGAUAAAGGGCAUGUACAAAAUACAUUUCAUUCAAAAUAAAAAAACAUAUUCCAAUUUACAUACGUCAUAGAUUUUCCAAUUUACAUAUUGCACACAAGUGUAAUUGCACAACAGUAAUGUCGUAGGCUUGUUCGUUACAUUAAUCAUCACGACUGUAUCCGUUUAAAACAUUUUGAACUCCAAUUAGUAAUGGGGUUGACAUAAAAUUAGACAGUAAUCUUAAGGAUUCAUCUUUUUGGCCAUUUUUUUCUUACAUUUGGUGCUGUAGUGAGUUUUAGGUGCAGCAGUACAGUGUGGGAUUCAGGCCAAAUAAACUACCAAGUGUGUUCAUGCUAAUAAUGAAACAUGUCCCUCAGUGCAGCAGUGUGGCCUAUUCAUGUGUUUUGAAAAGUUUUCAGACAACAAUGGGGCUCUAUGGCACAAAGUGGAAGAUUUAUCAGGCUUUGCAGGAGAUUCGAUUAAUCUCUCUAAAUCUUCUGUCUUUGUUAUCAUAUAUUUUGGUCACUUUACCAUUCCAGUACAUGUUGCCAUCUGUUUGUUUUAUCCAUCUGUCUAUGAAUGUGUGUCCGUGUGUGUGAGUGAUAUACAAUAUUUCACUACACAUAAGCAAGCAAGCAUCCAGUCUUCACCUUACCCAUCCUGAUGAUUUCCUAACAUGUAUUUAAAGCUUCUGUCUGUCAUUGUUGCAUGAGUGUAAACAUGUAGAUAUGUCAGACAUGGCUUCUAAAAAACCCUACCCCUUUGUGUUUCCAGUUCGUACAUUAAUGUAUUUACGGUAAGGAGGACUCUGUGUAUGCUGUAUUCAAAUCAGAGUUUUAAAAUAUAUUUUUAAUGCAGUACUAGCAUGCAAACCUAUUGUUGAGGAAGUCUAUAUUGGCCAUAAACACUGUCAAAAAAACAAACAAUUAAUCUCCAUGGCAAAGAUACACUCAGAUGGUUGCUCGAAAAUACCCACUAUGUAUGUCGUAUUGUGCGAACAUGGUCGCACUCGAAGGCAGUAAUUACUUUAAUUCAAGGAAAUGAGUGCAGUGUUGGGGGAAAUAUUCAGAUCCUAACCCUAACCCUAACCCUAACCCACUUAAAUAACAUACCACACUAUAAAAAUACUCAAAUACAAGUAAAUCAACUGAAGUAUGAUCACUCAAAGUAUUCAUUAUGCAGUAAAAUGUUCCCACUUUUUGGAUCAAUAUUACUGCUGCAUUAUGUCUAUGUUGCAUUGUAUUGCUUUAGAUUGUAAGGACGUGCUAAUCUUAAUAUUGAUAAUACUCAAAAUACUCAAAAAUAAAAUACACUCAACACACAUGUGAGUACUGUGUUAAAUUAAGCUUCACCCAUUUAAACAGCAUCGGGGUUAUUUAGGAAUCGGCUCUAUGUUACAUUUGCACCAUUUCUGUCUUUUAUUGGUGUCCAUUUUAUUCCAUUUUUGUGUUUGCUUCAUUCAGUGUUAUCACCAUUGCCAUAUUCCAGGAGAAAUCUUUGUGAUUCUGAGUAAAUAUUUUUCAUCCGUUUACUUUUGUUAUGUUGUAAUAAGUACAUUUUUAUGGUAUGAAGAGAAUGUAAAAGGAUAAUCGUUACUUUGUACUGAUUGAGAGAUUUUCUGGUUCAAGAAGCGUGUAUUAAUAUAUGACUGCUUAGAUAUAUUAUAAUUUGAGGAUGUAGUUUUUAGGUAAUCAGUUUUCAGGUACAAUAACGCUGUUAAUACACAAGAGUUAUUGAGAGGUAUACAGUUAAAGCAAUUCCUCUUCUGUAAAGGUUACAUUUGUAUAGAUCUUUAUUUUAGUUUUUGGGAAUGCUGCCGGGUUUUUUUGGUGCGUUGAGACUCCAUUAUAUUAACACUUUCAAUAAUCAAGUUUCUUAGGAAAUAAACUCAAUCCUGUUCUAAAAUG